GGGGACAUGUGCGGCAGCGCCGGUGUGGUGUGCGGAGCGGGAGGGAAAAUACAGCAAUGACACAAGCGGCCUACUCGGGGGAGUGGUCUGUUAUGUGGGAUAGUGCUAAAAUCGUCAAUUCAAGGGAUCAAGACUCUAUGCCCAGUGCUUGGGAGUGCUUGUUUGAUCAAUGUGGCUAUAAUGUUUGGGUUACAAAUGUGGCUUUCUUUCCUGUUGUCGCCCUGUUUCCGCCACCCAAUCUUUGCCUAUCAUUUUGUCUCGCCUGCACAACCUGUUUGUUUUUGCCAUUUCCCUGACACUCGGGGUUUGGAUUGCAAUUUGCACUUGUUUUUGCAGAUGUCCCAUUCUCUGUUAGCGAUCACUUUCUCUGUGCGGCUGAGGA
rnacentral:lncRNA from 1 species